CCUACGGGUGGCAGCAGUCGAGAAUCAUUCACAAUGGGGGAAACCCUGAUGGUGCGACGCCGCGUGGGGGAAUGAAGGUCUUCGGAUUGUAAACCCCUGUCAUGUGGGAGCAAAUUAAAAAGAUAGUACCACAAGAGGAAGACACGGCUAACUCUGUGCCAGCAGCCGCGGUAAUACAGCGGUCUCAAGCGUUGUUCGGAAUCACUGGGCGUAAAGGGUGCGUAGGCUGUUUCGUAAGUCGUGUGUGAAAGGCGCGGGCUCAUCCCGCGGACGGCACAUGAUACUGCGAGACUAGAGUAAUGGAGGGGGAACCGGAAUUCUCGGUGUAGCAGUGAAAUGCGUAGAUAUCGAGAGGAACACUCGUGGCGAAGGCGGGUUCCUGGACAUUAACUGACGCUGAGGCACGAAGGCCAGGGGAGCGAAAGGGAUUAGAUACCCCAGUAGUC
rnacentral:rRNA from 1 species